UUGAAAUACCAGUUCCCAUAUGAUCACCAAGUUAAGCAACAUUAAGCCUAGACAGUACCUAGAUGGGUGACCACUUGGGAAUACCAGGUAUUGUAA
rnacentral:rRNA from 1 species